CUUGGCCGACUGCCAGCGCUCGGAAGAGGAGAAGGGGGAUCGGCCGGGCUAGGGCAGAAGAAGCCGCGGCCCUAGGGCACACAAGGAAGGCCGGCGGCACUUUCGUGCAGCGUCGGCACUAUGCAGAGUGGAGGAGAAGCGGCUCUCGUCGCCGGCUGCAAAGGGGAGAGUGCGUGCACGCGAGAGAGAUGAGGAGAAGAUCGGGUUUGGGAGAGGAAAUCGGCGUGAGGAAGAAGGAGAAAAGGAACGGGCGGAGAAGGGAGUUAGGGCUUCUGUGCCGCGGGGAAAAAUCGGGAGGAGAAAGAAAAUAAAGAGAAAAAGAAAAAGGAAAAGAAUUUCUCGUUUAAAUGGGGUAGCCUAAACAUGCUUUCCCGGGGCCCGAUUUUACCCCCGUAAACUUGUCCAUACGGUCUCCGAAAAAUUCCAGAAAAAUUUCUAAAAAUUCCAGAAAAUUCUCUUAUCAUUAUUCGCCAUUUUUUCUGUAUUUUACAACACGACAGGAAGGGGUGCCACCUUUGCUGGAUCUUCUUCCACGACGGUGUGCUCUUCUCUCGUUUCCUGGUGAGCGGGUUUCUGACCUUCCACUGUUGCUUCUUUGGCUUGAAUCCGGACUCAGAUCUGAAAGCGAAGCAGCGGAGUGUGGCACUACCAAAGAUCUACUUAACAAAGACUACACUAACGACCAGAAGCUGACCAUCUCCACCUAUAGUGACUCCGGAUUGAUUUUUUCGUGAAGAAUAAUAUUGGUUAGAUCUGCAAGAUCGAAGGAUUGAUUAGCCCUGUUUAAGUGGGCCGAGAAGAUGGGGAAGCUCUUCUGGAGCUUAAGCUGGGUUUCAACGACUCCAAGCAGCUGUUGUGGAGCUAGCGGCCUAGUGCUUACCGAUUCCCACCCUUGCUCAUCCUGGCUCAACGUCUCCUGCCAGCCUUCCGACUUCACCGUCCGGUCAAUUGACUUUCCUUAUAUGUAGCUCGGUGGCAUCAUCUCCAUGAGAAUUGGCCAGAUUCCGAGGCUUCAAAUAUUGGUUUUGCACCAAAACAGCUUGCACAGUCCUAUUCCAAUUGUGAUAAAGAACUGCACUGAGCUAAGAGCAUUGUGUCACAUUACUUAUUUUUCAAGGUAUCUGAGAGCUAAUUACCUUCAAGGGAACAUUCCACCCAAGAUUAGAGAACUUGUGCACCUUACCAUCUUGUAGUUUUUACAUUCCCUUGUUUUCUUUUGUUAUAUAGUUGUUUCUUUAAUCAGUUUUCUUGAGCUUGAUGUAAAAAAAUAUAGAGACUUGUCAAGCAAUUUGCUCAGGGGCACAAUUCCUCCAUCUAUUAGCUCUCUGAACCAAUUACGAUUUCUGUGAGUCUUCAUGUGAUUAUUGGUGGCUAGGCAGUUUGUUGUUGCAGAGUUAACUGUUUGACUAUGAUUUUUUUAACAACUGUAGAAAUUUAUCAACAAAUUUCUUGUCUGGUGAGAUUCCAACUGUUGGAAUCCUUGUAACUUUCCAAAGCAUUUCAUGAGUAACUCUUCUAUUCUCUAUGAUGCUUCAUUGGCUUGCUCCAUUAAUUGUUAUAUGUUAUCCAAUUGUUUUCUACUUGGGCAACUGAAGUUUUUUUCCCCAUUACACAAGUAUUCUCUUCUAUCUUUUUAUUUAAUAUAUAGUGCAUAACUAGCAUUCUGGGUGAAAAUAUCUUAUUAGUUCUGCUCAGUGUUAGAAUGUGUUAUGUUAGCACUUUCAUGGUCAUAACUAUAGAAGAGAGGCCUCCAAUAUGUGACUUUGCAUUUGACCUUUUAGUGUUUGUUGGAUAAGUUUUAUGACAUUGUCAACCUUAAAGUAUCAUGCUUUGAUUUGAAUAUGACACUGGGCUAAAUUGAACUCAAUUAAGAACCAUAUGAUUUAUAUGAUUGAGAUUGUUGCAAAUUGCCAAAUAGUUGUGGAUGUUAUGCAAUUUCAUUUCCUUCUAUACCAGUUGCUAAUUUCCAAUAGCAUGCUGCACAAAUAAGACAACAGUAGUGCAAAGCUGAAUUGUAUCAUCAAUCCGUAUGUGUUUCAGCAGGUUAAGAUAAUUCUUAUUCGCCUACAUGUACAUUUUAUCUUUUA